rnacentral:rRNA from 1 species
GACGAACGCUGGCGGCGUGCUUAACACAUGCGAGUCGAACGGAAAGACCCUGCUUUUGUGGGGUGCUCGAGUGGCGAACGGGUGAGUAACACGUGAGUAACCUGCCCUUGACUUUGGGAUAACUUCAGGAAACUGGGGCUAAUACCGGAUAGGAGCUCCUGCUGCAUGGUGGGGGUUGGAAAGUUUCGGCGGUUGGGGAUGGACUCGCGGCUUAUCAGCUUGUUGGUGGGGUAGUGGCUUACCAAGGCUUUGACGGGUAGCCGGCCUGAGAGGGUGACCGGCCACGUUGGGACUGAGAUACGGCCCAGACUCCUACGGGAGGCAGCAGUGGGGAAUAGUGCACAAUGGGCGGAAGCCUGAUGCAGCAACGCCGCGUGCGGGAUGACGGCCUUCGGGUUGUAAACCGCUUUCGCCUGUGACGAAGCGUGAGUGACGGUAAUGGGUAAAGAAGCACCGGCUAACUACGUG